GCGGGUGUAGUUCAGAGGUAGAACAUCAGCUUCCCAAGCUGAGAACGCGGGUUCGAUUCCCGUCACCCGCU
rnacentral:tRNA from 4 species